rnacentral:rRNA from 1 species
AUGGCGGAGAUCGUUGAGCCCAACACGACUAUUCGGUUAAGUGAGGUCCCUUUAGGACUUUAAAGACUGUGGUUCUGAGCUCUUGCCUGUGGGAGUUUUGAUCUUUCUGGUCCCCGGUCCAACCCCCCAACCACAACUGAAAACCCUGAGGGGCCAAAGGAGAAGCUUACUGACUGAGCGAGCGAGAUUUUUGGCCUGCUUUCAAGCCAGAUUGCCUGUCGGCAAGCUAGUAAGCUGUCUGGUUAUUGAGAUCGGUA